AGGGAAAGUCAAAUCUCUGAUCUGGUCAAGCUGCGCUUACAAAGGAGGAGCUCUGCUUUUCAUUUCUAGUAUGCCAAAACCUUGGUUUGAUUUGAAGAGAAAAAGUGGUUGCCUUUCUAUCAUUCCUUCUAAAUUGUCUUCAAUGGCUUCUCCUCCAAUGUCCCGGAAUGUUGGGCUCUGAGACACUGGAUUAGGAGCAAGGCGCCUCAAACAGACACUUCCUUCUCUCUCUGGGCACCGUCAGAACCUCCAGAUAAGCUGGCAACUGCAAAUGAAUUUCAAGCAUUUGGCAAAGUGAGAUUGAACAUCACCUCACUCUGGUUUGCCACUGAAGCCUUAAUAUUACGUUUUUUCCUACAGGCAGACGAAAAAAUGUUACAGUACUAGGGAUGCUUAAGUCUCACUCAAUGACCUGCAAGUUCUUCAACAGACAGAUGGGAAAUUGAGAAGCACCCCUGUGGACUGAAAAACUGGCUAGUUUGACUCCUUCUGAAUUCUUUUCACAAAACAGUAAAUGACAAAUAAAAAUCAGAAUCUGUUACUCUAAGAGGAGUGUCUC
rnacentral:lncRNA from 1 species